rnacentral:rRNA from 1 species
AGUGAACGCUGGCGGUAGGCCUAACACAUGCAAGUCGAACGGCAGCACAGGAGAGCUUGCUCUCUGGGUGGCGAGUGGCGGACGGGUGAGGAAUACAUCGGAAUCUACUCUGUCGUGGGGGAUAACGUAGGGAAACUUACGCUAAUACUGCAUACGACCUACGGGUGAAAGCAGGGGACCUUCGGGCCUUGCGCGAUUGAAUGAGCCGAUGUCGGAUUAGCUAGUUGGCGGGGUAAAGGCCCACCAAGGCGACGAUCCGUAGCUGGUCUGAGAGGAUGAUCAGCCACACUGGAACUGAGACACGGUCCAGACUCCUCCGGGAGGCAGCAGUGGGGAAUAUUGGACAAUGGGCGUAAGCCUGAUCCAGCCAUACCGCGUGGGUGAAGAAGGCCUUCGGAUUGUAAAGCCCUUUUGUUGGGAAAGAAAUCCAGCUGGCUAAUACCCGGUUGGGAUGACGGUACCCAAAGAAUAAGCACCGGCUAACUUCGUGCCAGCCGCCGCGGUAA